AUGUCUUUCAGGAGCAUGGUCCGGGAGAUGAAGGGCGAGGUGGACGCCAUCGCCCGGCGCCGGCCGCUUCCGUCGGCGCGCGGCGUCCGGCGGGUGGCGGCGGUGGCGACGGAGGAGGAGGCCGCGCGGCAGGGCUGCUGCUGGGCGGAGCUGCCGCCGGAGCUCCUGCGGGAGGUGCUGGCGCGGGUCGAGGCGUCGGAGCCGCGGUGGCCGCGCCGCCGCGACGUGGUGGCGUGCGCCGGCGUCUGCCGGACCUGGAGGGGUGUUGUCAGGGAGAUCGUCCGCGUUCCCGAGGUGUCCGGGCGGCUCACCUUCCCCAUCUCUCUCAAGCAGCCUGGACCAAGAGAUGCUCCCAUCAAAUGUUUCAUUCGGAGGCACCGGGCUACUCAGACAUAUUUCCUCUACAUUGGACUGACUGAUGCGCUAGCUGAUACUGGGAAGUUCCUACUUGCUGCACGCAAAUACCAUAGGCCAACAUGCACCGAAUAUCUAAUUUCACUUGACAAGACUGAUAUGUCAAAGGGGAGUCAAACCUGCGUUGGCAAGUUAAGAUCGAAUUUCUUGAGAACGAAGUUUACUGUCUAUGAUGCGCAUCCACCUCAUGCUGGACCUGUGGUUUCAAAGAGAUGGCCUGCUGGCGACUAUCCAGUUAUACAAAUUAAUUAUGAAGUGAAUGUUUUGGGAUCUAGGGGCCCAAGAAGAAUGAACUGUAUCAUGGAAUCUAUCCCUGUAUCAGCAAUUGAACAAGGAGGAACAGCUCCAACACAGACUGCGUUUCCUUUCUUCAAUCCCAAAUCAUCUCGAAUGGAUAGCUCAAUUACUCCAUUAUCCAGUCAAGUGGAAAGUAAGCUGGUGCUUAAGAACAAGUCCCCCAGGUGGCACGAACAUCUGCGGUGCUGGUGCCUCAACUUCCACGGACGGGUGACGGUUGCAUCAGUGAAAAACUUUCAGCUGGUGGCUUCAGAUGAGAGUGCUCCAGCUAACGAGGAGAAUGACGACACCACCCUCCAGUUUGGUAAGAUUGGGAAGGACUUGUUCACACUCGACUACCGUUACCCGGUAUCGGCGUUUCAGGCAUUUGCGAUCUGCCUCAGCAGCUUCGACACCAAAUUAGCGCGCGAAUGA
rnacentral:rRNA from 1 species